rnacentral:RNase_P_RNA from 1 species
AUGAUCGCGGCUGCACAGACGAAAGGGUGCAGGUGAGGAAAGUCCGGGCUUCAUAGGGCGGGAUGCCGGAUAACAUCCGGUGGAGGUGACUCCAAGGCCAGUGCAACAGAAAUAAUACCACCAACCAUUGAGGUUGGCCAGGGUGGAAUGGCAGUGUAAGAGACUACCGCUGCUCUGGUAACAGAGCAGGCUGUGUAAACCCCAUCCGAAGCAAGACCAAAUAGAAAGCUAUAGAUUGGCCCGAUCUGCUUUCAGGUAGGUCGCUUGAAAUUGCCGGUAACGGUAAUUCUAGAUAGAUGAUCAUUCACGACAUAACCCGGCUUAUCGUUCUGCUU